CAAAAUGACUGGAAAACGGCAAACUUUGCAAGGCUAUAUUAUCCACAUUUUACAACAUUUCGCAACGAAACUUCGGAAUAUUACUAAUUUUGUGAUGCUCUUUCCAGCUGUGAUGAAAUUUUUGUCCAGGCAUAUCUAGAUCAAAAUUUCACUCAUAAGGGGAAAUGUCUAUUAGUUAUAUCGAGUGUGGAAGUCCACAAUCCUAAACUUCAAUAAUGCAUAUUUUCUAGGUGUUGAAGAUCACACCCAAUUCCAAAUGGAUAUUUGAGAGGGUCUGUGCAGUCCCUCUCUCUGUUAAAUUCAUGACAAGUCCCAUUCAUGUGCCAACACAAAUUGUUUGAUCCUGUCAUGUAAUGAGAUGUAAAGAAAGUUGUUUUGUAUUGCUGUUUUCACAAUGUCAAUGUUUUGUCUUAGUGAUGGAUGUUUGACUAUAGAUUAUGGUAAAAGGUCAAUGUAUUUCAGUACAUGCCUAAAAUCUUGGGGAGGUUUCUACCAGUUACAGUAGGCCUAAAAGUUAUUUGGUUCUGGUUUCAUGCUUCCAAAAAUUAGGGUCAGUAUGUCGGACUUUCUUAUAUUUUUAUCAGUUUUGUUUAUUCAAAUAGCUGAUAUUUUAAUGCGAGCAACGUUUUAUUAUUGUGUAGAUAAUAUUUUUUGUGCACAAGAGGGUCUCACUUAUUGUAUAUCAUGUCUGGAAAUGACUUUUUAAUUUUUGCCAGUAAAAAAAAUGUAAAAAGUAAGGUCGGGUGUCACAGGAUAGCUGAGUCUGUCAGUGAACUGAAAUCAAACAUUUAUUCGGGCCCUAGCUUAGCAACUAGUCAUUGUGUGCAUAAGUUCGGUUUUUCACAAGAUCUGUAGAUGCGUUCAUCCCCCGUCGAAGCGAAAAUGAGCUGUACAAAUUAUUUUUUCGCUUAAAAUCACGGCUCAUAUUAUGGAAAAACCAUUUCCGUAGUUGAGUAAAUGAUUUUUUAAAAUUUAAUUUUUGGAUACGGGUAAUGCAUGUAUAGUUCACUUUUUGUUUUGAAAAUCAACCAAGAUGGCCUCGAUUCAAUCACUGUUCAAUAGGAAGCACUUCUUAACCAUAAUCUAUAGCCAAACAUGGGGACGGUCUAAAACUGCAGGAUGGUGGUUGACGCAGGUUAGUGGUAGAGGUUUGGAAAUUUGGUUCGGAUACGUUUUCCGCUGGCGGAUCGUGUCUCCGAGAACACUAUCCGCGUCGCGUCCCUCGCGUAUUCUAUCGCCUUCGAAAACUACUCGAUUACUUUCAAUAGCGCGACGUUUCACUAAAGUGAUAUGGACAACGCUUUUUAAGUUUUUCGUAACGUUUUCAACUUGGAAACUUGAUAUGCAUGCAAUGUAGACGAAUUAUAAUAAAACCGGUUUUCCACUGCCCAUUGGGCGGAAUUUUGCGCGCGGAGCGGAAUUUUCGUGAAAAGAAAGUCUUGUAAUUCGUCUUAUUAUUGGAAAACCAGCUUUACAAAUGAGGACACUAUCCGCGGAAAUGUAAUUAUAGGGGGCGUAAAUAUAAUUCGUUUACAUUGCAUGCAUUUAUCUGCUAUAGUGGAUAGGGUAACACCAGCUUUAAAGGCGGGUUUCCAUUCAUUGCAAAAUGUUGCGCGAUCGUCUCUUUACGAUCGCUUUCUUGUGAAGUACGAACAGUCAAGCGGAACUGAAAUCUCAUUAGCUGCAGUUGACUGCACAAAUUUCAAAGAAAGCGAUUGCAAAAAAAUCGAUCGUGCGACAUUUUGCACUGAAUGAAAAUCCAUCCUUAACCUGCGCCAAUCGGCAACUGCAGUUUAGAUCUCCCGAACAUGGUGAUCUGAUUAUGUAAAUAAAGUAAUGUUGGCGUCUGUUUAGUGGUGCACUGCGAAAGGGAAUGUCGUGUAUUUUUUGUUCUGUGUUGUCGAGAGGCCUUGUAUUAUGCUGUUCGUGUGUGUGUCCUGGUGGUACAAUGUAAGGUGCGACGUGCACCUUUCGAGCUUGAAAAAAAGAAAACAUUAACGGAAGAGAAUAUAAACAUCGAAAAGGAUUGUGUCCUGAAAAUUGUAAAUAAAUUUACACAAAAAAAGAAGAAAAGGAAUAAAAUAUCCACAAAACGCAAAAAAUAUUUUCAACUUUAAUUGUAACUAACCUGCAGCAGACUUGUGGCGAUUGUUUACCGGCUGAUAGUUUCAGCAAAUAUAAAAGUAAUCUUAUUCCGAAAAAAAUAUGCAUUUUAAUUAACAACACAUCUAUUUAAAAAAAAAUGUAUAUUUCGAAUCUACUUUGAUUCAUCUUCUGUAGUAUAUUU